UACAGGGGGGGCAAGCGUUGUUCGGAAUUACUGGGCGUAAAGGGCCAGUAGGCGGCCAACUAAGUCCGACGUGAAAUCCCAAAGCUUAACUUUGGAACUGCGUCGGAUACUGGAUGGCUUGAAUCCGGAAGAGGGAUGUGGAAUUCCAGGUGUAGCGGUGAAAUGCGUAGAUAUCUGGAGGAACACCGGUGGCGAAGGCGACAUCCUGGACCGGUAUUGACGCUGAGGCGCGAAAGCCAGGGGGAGCAAAACGGGG
rnacentral:rRNA from 1 species